rnacentral:tRNA from 1 species
GUCUCUGUGGUGCAGUCGUUUAGCGCAUGCGGCUGUUAACCGAAAGGUUGCUGGUUCGAGCCCACCCAGGGACG